CCUACGGGAGGCAGCAGUGGGGAAUAUUGGACAAUGGGCGCAAGCCUGAUCCAGCAAUACCGCGUGAGUGAUGAAGGUCUUCGGAUUGUAAAGCUCUUUUAGUGGAGAAGAUAAUGACGGUAUCCACGGAAAAAGCACCGGCAAACUUCGUGCCAGCAGCCGCGGUAAUACGAAGGGUGCUAGCGUUGUUCGGAAUCAUUGGGCGUAAAGCGUACGUAGGCGGUUUAAUAAGUCGUUUGUGAAAGCCCCGAGCUUAACUUGGGAAUUGCAAUCGAUACUGUUUUACUAGAGUUUGGUGGGGGAUAGUGGAAUUCCUAGUGUAGGGGUGAAAUCCGUAGAGAUUAGGAGGAACAUCAGUGGCGAAGGCGACUAUCUACGCUAAUACUGACGCUAAGGUACGAAAGCGUGGGGAGCAAACAGGAUUAGAUACCCUGGUAGUCCACGCAGUAAACGAUGAGUGCUAGUUGUCGGGGUCUUAGACUUCGGUGGCGAAGCUAACGCGUUAAGCACUCCGCCUGGGGACUACGAUCGCAAGAUUAAAACUCAAAUGAAUUGACGG
rnacentral:rRNA from 1 species